rnacentral:rRNA from 1 species
UACGGAGGGUGCAAGCGUUGUCCGGAUUUAUUGGGUUUAAAGGGUGCGUAGGUGGCCUUAUAAGUCAGUGGUGAAAGCCUGCAGCUUAACUGUAGGACUGCCAUUGAUACUGUGGGGCUUGAGUAUUGAUGAGGUAGGCGGAAUUGAUAGUGUAGCGGUGAAAUGCAUAGAUAUUAUCAAGAACACCGAUUGCGAAGGCAGCUUACUAAGGAAUAACUGACACUGAGGCACGAAAGCGUGGGGAUCAAACAGG